GAUGACUUCAAUCGUCGCCCCCAUUCAAUAUAACCCAAUCGAUAUCUCAACUGCUGCACUUGAAACCCUUCUCUCUAGCAACAAUAGAUAAAACUUCAUGAUUGAAAGAAGAACAACAGCUUGAAAUUCCACAAACUUCGUAUUUCAAUCACCAUAGGUUUAUCCAAAAACGAAAAUGGCCAGCAGUAGCAACAGCAAGAAAGAUGUGAUUCGAUUGGGAGGGGCGAUUUGAGCAGGUGAAUUUGAUUAUUGUUCGAUCGGCUACCCUACUUCUCUUUAUCAUUCUAAUUGAUUCGACUUGGGCGGUGCAGUGGUCUCCUCCUAAUACUCAAUGCCCCUUCAUAUUCCUUGAAACCCUAGCACAACAAAAGCAUCUGGAAUGUUAGUAAAUUGAGAAGCAAUCAGAAAACCAUUCGGACUUCUUCGGUGAAAGCUGUAUAUUUCGAUGAUUAUCCGUCACUAGACAAGAAUUCAAGGCAGAGAAUAUGGUCCAUUAGGGAGGAUGUACAAAUCACAUGGGUGAAUUAAUAACAUAGCUUGGGGUUUAAUAUGAGGGCUAAAAAAAGGUCCAAAGGGAUACAGGUGUCUUCUCCAUCAACAUAUCCAAAAGUUGAGGAAACCACCACCGGUAUAUCAAACACAAAAUGAAGGAUCCGACCAUAAUCCAAGGUUCAGAUCCACUGCUUCCGUAGAUGGUGUGAGCUACACAUCGUCAAGCACAUUUCAACUUCGUAAGAUUGCCGAGUUGGAUGUUUCAAGAAUUGCAUAUACUGCCAUAACACAGAAGGAAAAAACUGAAGCAUUGCAGUUUAUACAACAGGUUUGAUGUUUACAAGUUAUAGCAUUUCUUUUAUAGAAUAAGUUUUGUUAUUUAAUGUAAUAACCGAUCGUAAACAGGUAUACGAUUUUAUACCCUAUGGAAAUGAGUAAUAGUGUAAAUUUAAUGAUCGAAUAUGAAAUUAGAUGUGAUACUACUAUGAGUAUGCAUACUCUCAAGGUCUUGGUCAAAGAGUGCUCAGCAGAAGUCAAAAUAGUUAGUUCGCUUACCGAGUGGUACAAUGCGAUUCGGUUAUGUAACAACCGCGAGGAAAGGUUGCAGGUGUAUAACCUGAUUGAAUCUAAAGUUCAAGACGGCGGUAACUAUCAACAGUUGGAGGGCUUCAAUACAUCAGUACCAAAAGGGUAAAACACGAUACGCUCAUUACCGGCAAACAGAUUAUCUAUUAGCAGAGUCAGGGUGGCAUUGCAGCUUCUGUUUCUGAAAAAUUACAGAUUUUGUAUUCAAGAUGAAAGCUAUUUUGUAUUCAAGAUGAAAGCUUAUAGCCACACGGAUCGAGUCAGGUUCUCACACUUUCUUGACCCGAAAAUGAUUCAGAAUGUAAUAUGCAACGGUUAUGACUUGUACAAUAUGCUUCCCGAAGAGUACACGUUUAAGGAUAUCAUAGAGAAAAUGGGUCCAAUUUCUCAUUCUUAUUUAGCAAUCCAUCUUCCAUCAUAUCUAUUAAACAAUGCAGAUGAAUACAGGUAUCUUUUGCCCAGUAAUUGCAUCCGUGAAGCGGGUUGAAUUCGGGUUGAAUUUUGGUUUAAUGUAACUUUUCAUGAUAUAAACAUAGUUUAAGUACUUAUUUACCAAAGGAUUAUAGGCUGUGUUUUUUUUAAUUAACGAGUGAUUAAGUUGUACAUUUUUUCCUCCUAUAAUAUACAUAUGGAGAGUUUUGAAA